GAGAAUUGAGUGUGAACCAUGGCAGCAAAAGGCUUAUAGAUAUGACCUCACUACGAGAAGAAAUAAAGUAUAUAUCCAGGUGUGUUGAGAGAAGUCACUAGCGGAGGCAAAAGGAGAUGAUCCCUCGAGAUCAUAGUGAACAAGGUCUAAAGGAUGCUGUGACACUGUCUCGCUAUGAGUAUAAGGUAACUGGACCACGUAUUAGAGACAUCAUUGGAGACGGAUCCAAGAAGAUCACGUCGAACUAAGGAUGAGAGAUCACAAGUGACCCAAGGCGAUGAUGCCACUCUUGAAAAUAUCUGGUAGACAAGGCAACAGAGGAAGAGACUGGCGGCACUGACAGUAGAGGGACUUGAUCCAGCAUCCCACUUGCCUGUGCACUCUUCGUACCCCGACGAUCCGACUGGGUGUUCCUUUCCUGAUUGCGGGUUGUGUGCCACGUGCUUGAUUAAGCACCCCAGGUUCUCCUCCUGUGCGCCCUUGGCCUCGACUUUAGGUAGCGCCUGUCUUCGGCUCGUCCCGUGCAUAAUCCAGGUACGCGUUGAUUGUCCGAGCUCCUGCUCACCAUUGGUGGCGCUCGAGCACGCGGUUAUGGUGUCACACAAAGGGAACACGGGAUGUGGGAUUGAGACAGUGCUUGUAGCAACCCGCAGCAAGGCAAAGGAUGCCCAUCCAGACUCGUAGGGAGCGGAGGUGGUCACAAAGGUGGACGUUGACUCCAUAGGAGUCUCAACAGUGCGCUCAUCAGAAAGAGUAGCACGAGUAAGAAGAUCCUGGACAUACUUCUCUUAGAAAAUAAAGAAGUCAUUAGAGGUAGAAUAAACCUCAAUCUCAAGGAAGUACCAAAGAGGACCAAGAUCGGACAUAAGAAAUUCACUAUGACGAGCCUUCACCAAGGUAAUGUACUUAGAGUCGUUGCUAGUGAUGAUCAACAUGUAGAAGUAGUGUUCGACCACGAGCUGAAUGGUGGAUCGGAUGUGUAGUACUAUGAGCACUCGCCAAAAACUAGCCGCAAUCACCACUGAGACGAAGCGCUCAAACCAGGCCUGAGGAGUUUGCUUAGGGCCAUAUAGACAGCGACGAAGACGACAAACCAUGCCAUUAGGAAGAGAACCUAGCCACCAUUCAGUCACAUUGAGCUGAGAGACAUACUAGCGGCGAAUAGAAGUCACAUUGAGAAGUGUGCGAAGAGUGGUCACGUGGGCCAUAUAUAUAGGAGUAAAUGUCUCUUCGUAGUCAUGACCAUGUUCUCACCACUAAACGAGCUUUGUAACGCUCAAGAGUAUCAUCAGUCUUAACCUUGUAGACCCACUUACAAGUGAUGAGACGAGCACGAGGAGGAAGGGAAAUGAGAUUCCACGUGCCGUUGCGGGCAAGGGCAUCAAUCUUCAAUGCCAUGACAUGCACCCAUUUGGGAUGAACAACCUCACGGCAAGAAGACGUCUCGGGAAGAGCUGCACAGUAACCAUAGCGGUCAAUAGGCAGAAGUGGGCGAGCUCAAAAGCCAUAAGUACACUAUAAGCUGGAGGCGGUGCGUUGCCAAACGAAAGAAGAUAUAAUAGUCGAGGGAGAUGGCUUAUCAGAAGAAUCCACAACACGCGGACCACGAGUGUAGUAAAGUCGAGGAACAUGAGCAAAAGAAGGAACGUAUAAGAAGUCAAAGUGAGUCAUAACAUUCCCACCAAGUGAUGGGACAAACACGAGGAAGAGAAACAAUAUCCCACAUGCUGAUGCGCUCAAGAGCAACAAUCUCCUCUGCCAUCGCAAGGUGCCAUUUGGUAUGAAUAACAUCACGAUAAGAUGUCGGCUCAAGAACACCAGCGCCAACGCUUGGAAGACCAAGGCGGUCAACAGGCGGAAGCGGACGAGGAAGCAAGCCAUAAGUAGGCCGAGAGGGCUAGUGGCACAUCAAGAGACACAUUCGCAACACGCGGGCGAUAUAUAUAAAUGUGAGGAAAAGAUGGAAGAAUACGAGCAGAAAUAAUCGGGAUAAACUCAGGUGAUGGGAGAGAAGAAGCCACAACCGACGAAGGUGUUGAAUCCUGUGAUAAGCGAGGUGACGAAAUCAUAGGAGAUGAUGGCAUUGGAUCUGCAAUUAUCGGAGAAGCAGGAGCAGUACAACGAAUGGAUAAGGGAGUGAUAGGAGUGUUGGGUAUAAAAAAUAGAUUUCCUCCAUUGAAAAGGUCGAGGAAGAUGGACGCGGGUAGAAGGGAUGAGACUCAUCAAAAGUCAUAUCCCGAGAAAUAGGCAUCCGACGCCCAACAUGAUCCCAAUAAUGAUAUCCCUUAUGCUCAUCGUUGUAUCCUAAGAAGACACACUCAACGGACGGAGCAGUCAGUUUGGUGCGUUCACAUGGGCAAGGACAUAGCAAACAUAACCAAACAAUUGAAGUGCUGAAUAAUCAGGAAAUAAUCAAAUAGACGCUCGAAAGGAGCGCCACCCUGUAGAGCAAUGGAUUGCUGAAGGUUGAUGAGAUAGAUGGAAGUGGAGACAGACUCGGCCCAAAAGUGCGGUGAAAGAGAGGCGGUGACCAUCAAUGGAGGAGCCGUCUCAAUAAGGUGACGAUGCUUGUGCUCAGCCACACCAUUUUGAGCAUGAGCACCAGGAUAAGAGAAGCAAAGUCUGCUCAGCAAGGAUUCCACGCAACAGUUUGGAGAUGUACUCUCCACCAGAGUCACCAUAGAACACAUGAAUAGGCGUAGAGAAUUGAGUGUGAACCAUGGCCGCAAAAGGCUUAUAGAUAAGACCUCACUACGAGAAGAAAUAAAGUAUAUAUCCAGGUGUGUUGAGGGAAGUCACUAGCGGAGGCAAAAGGACAUGAUCCCUCGAGAUCAGAGUGAACAAGGUCUAAAGGAUGCUGAGACACUGUCUUGCUAUGAGUUUAAGGUAACUGGACCACGUAUUAGAGACAUCAUUCGAGGCGGAUCCAAGAAGAUCACGUCGAACUAAGGAUGAGAGAUCACAAGUGACCCAAGGCGAUGAUGCCACUCUUGAAAAUAUCUGGUAGACAAGGCAACAGAGGGAGAGACUGGCGGCACUAACAGUAGAGGGACUUGAUCCGGCAUCCCACUUGCCUGUGCACUCUUCGUACCCCGCCGAUCCGACUGGGUGUUCCUUUCCUGAUUGCGGGUUGUGUGCCACAGCUUGAUUAAGCACCCCAGGUUCUCCUACUGUGCGCCCUUGGCCUCGACUUUAGGUAGCGCCUGUCUUCGGCUCGUCCCGUGCAUAAUCCAGGUACGCGUCGAUUAUCCGAGCUCCUGCUCACCAUUGGUGGCGCUCGAGCGCGCGGUUAUGGUGUCACACAUAAAGGGAACACGGGAUGUGGGAUUGAGACAAUGCUUGUAGCAACCCACAUCAAGGCAAAGGAUGCUCAUCCAGACUGGUAGGGAGCGGAGGUGGUCACAAAGGUGGACGUUGACUCCAUCGGAGUCUCAACAGUGCACUCAUCAGAAAGAGUAGCACGAGUAAGAAGAUCCUGGACAUACUUCUCUUAGAAAAUAAAGAAGUCAUUAGAGGUAGAAUAAACCUCAAUCUCAAGGAAGUACCAAAGAGGACCAAGAUCGGACAUAAGAAAUUCACUAUGACGAGCCUUCACCAAGGUAAUGUUCUUACAGUCGUUGCUAGUGAUGAUCAACAUGUAGAAGAAGUGUUUGACCACGAGCUGAAUGGUGGAUCGAAAGUGUAGUAUAAUGAGCACUCGCCAAAAACUAGCCGCAAUCACCACUGAGACAAAGCGCUCAAACCAGGCCUGAGGUGUUUGCUUAGGGCCAUAUAGACAGUGAUGAAGACGACAAACCAUGCCAUUAGGAAGAGAACCUAGGUGGUGGCUACUUGUAGGCAUUCUUGACAUCAAGCUGAGAGACAGACUAGCGGCGAAUAGAAGCCAUAUUGAGAAGUGUGCGAAGAGUGGUCACGUGGGCCAUAUAUAUAGGAGUAAAUGUCUCUUCGUAGUCAUGACCAUGUUCUCACCACUAAACGAGCUUUGUAACGCUCAAGAGUAUCAUCAGUCUCAACCUUGUAGACCCACUUACAAGUGAUGAGACGAGCACGAGGAGGAAGGGAAAUGAGAUUCCACGUGCCGUUGCGGGCAAGAGCAUCAAUCUUCGAUGCCAUGACAUGCAGCCAUUUGGGAUGAACAACCUCACGACAAUAAGCGGGCGAGCUCGAAAGCGGUCAUUAGACAGAAGCGGGCGAGCUCGAAAGCCAUAAGUAGAGUAAGCCGGAGGCGGUGCGUUGCCAAACGAAAGUCGAGGGAGAUGGCUUAUGAGAAGAAUCCACAACACGCGGACCACGAGUGUUGUAAAGUCGAGGAACAUGCGCAAAAGAAGGAAUGUAUAAAAGGUCAAAGUGAGUCAUAACAUUCCCACCAAGUGAUGGGACGAAUACGAGGAGGAAGAGAAACAAUAUCCCACAUGCUGAUGCGCUCAAGAGCAACAAUCUCCUCUGCCAUCGCAAGGUGCCAUUUGGUAUGAAUAACAUCACGAUAAGAAGUCGGCUCAAGAACACCAGCACCAACGGUUGGAAGUCCAAGGCGGUCAACAGGCGGAAGCGGACGAGGAAGCAAGCCAUAAGUAGGCUGAGAGGGGAUGUGGCACAUCAGUAGACACAUUCGCAACGCGCGGACGAUGUAUAUAAAAGUGAGGAAAAGAUGGAAGAAUACAAGUCGAAAUCAUAGGGAUAAACUCAGGUGAUUUAGAGAAGGAAGCCACAACCGAUGAAGGUGUAGAAUCCUGUGAUAAGCGAGGUGAGGAAAUCAUAGGAGAUGAUGGCAUUGGAUCUGCAAUUAUCGGACAAGCAGGAGCAGUACAACAAAUGGAUAAGGGAGUGAUAGGAGUGUUGGAUUUGAAAAAAAAUAUAGAUUUCCUCCAUUGAAAAGGUCAAGGAAGAUGGACGCGGGUAGAAGGGAUGAGACUCAUCAAAAGUCAUAUCCCGAGAAAUAGGCAUCCGACGCCCAACAUGAUCCCAAUAAUGAUAUCCCUUAUGCUCAUCGUUGUAUCCUAAGAAGACACACUCAACGGACUGAGCAGUCAGUUUGGUACGUUCAUGUGGGCAAGAAGGACAUAGCAAACGCAACCAAACAAUUGAAGUGCCGAAUAAUCAGGAAAUAAUCAAAUAGACGCUCGAAAGGAGCGCCACCCUGCAGAGCAAUGGAUUGCUGAAGGUUGAUGAGAUGGAUGGAAGUGGAGACAGACUCGGCCCAAAAGUGCGUUGGAAGAGAGGCGGUGACCAUCAAUGGAGGAGCCAUCUCAAGAAGGUGACGGUGAUUGCGCUCAGCCACGCCAUUUUGAGGUUGAGCACCAGGAUAAGAGAACUAAAGUCUGCUCAGCAAGGAUUCCACGCAACAGCUUGGAGAUAUACUCUCCACCAGAGUCACCAUAGAACACAUGAAUAGGCGUAGAGAAUUGAGUGUGAAUCAGGGCAGGAAAAGGGUUAUAGAUAAGACCUCACUACGAGAAGAAAUAAAGUAUAUAUCCAGGUGUUUUGAGAGAAGUCACUAGCGGAGGCAAAAGGAGAUGAUCCCUCGAGAUCAGAGUGAACAAGGUCUAAAGGAUUCUGAGAUACUGUCUCGCUAUGAGUAUAAGGUAACUGGACCACGUAUUAGAGACAUCAUCGGAGACGGAUCCAAGAAGAUCACGUCGAACUAAGGAUGAGAGAUCACAAGUGACCCAAGGCGAUGAUGCCACUCUUGAAAAUAUCUGGUAGACAAGGCAACAGAGGCAGAGACUGGCCGUACUGGCAGUAGAGGGACUUGAUCCGGCAUCCCACUUGCCUGUGCACUCUUCGUACCCCGCUGAUCUGGCUGGGUGUUCCUUUCCUGAUUGCGGGUUGGUUGCCACGUGCUUGAUUAAGCACCCCAGGUUCUCCUACUGUGCGCCCUUGGCAUCAACAUGUGAAAUCGACUGCAGAGGGUUUGGGCCUGGGGGAUCGCAUCUUCCUGCCGGUGGAAGGCAUGCGUCCCCUCGAGGCUGGUACAGAUUCUGGCAAGGACAGAGUUUCUCAGCCCUUUCUCAUUGCGUGUGUAUUCUUUAAAGUCACGUAUAUUUUUCAGUAAUGCUCCCAAAUCUCUGCUCACUCCAGAAGUCCAGAUACAGUGCAUCACGUAAUUUUCUUGUUUAGUUGCCAUUAGCUAACUUCACAGAAUCCAAGUUGGAUUUGUUUGAACGACAAUGUCUCGAGCUUUUGGGAAGCAACACUAAUUACAAGCUUAGCUAGCGCCUUACCAACACUUUGCUAUUGUGAGGAUUUGCAUCCUACCUCUACCCCUAUGUCACAAGUAAAAUUAUUGUGAUUAUCCAUAUGAUGACAUGAGUAAUUUAACUUUUGUUCUGUGUUUCAUGUUGUCUGGAGCAAUGCUUGGCUCCUAGCAGUUUCCAGAUGGAUUUAUUUCCAUUGCAAUGAGAACGACUGUCAACAUUUGCUGAAUUUUUGGUCGACUCAACCCACAAACCAAGAGGACUUAACCCUCUUCUCCUUGAUAGUCCAGCAAUCAGCAAGUUGAAAAGAUUUAAAUCAAGGUUCCAUGAUAUUCUAAUGAAUCUCCCUGUAAGGGAGGCUUUUCAGAUAUUCCAUUUCAAACUAAAGGUGCAUUCCUUUUACUUCUGGUAAUAUAAACUAUGUAUUUUUAAUUGUCUAACCUUGUGUGCAUAGGGUUUCUUUCACACGAGAGGUUCUGCAGUAAAAAUAUUGUUUUAAUUGGUUGUUGUUUGCCUGUCAGUCACACAAGCCUUUAUUGAUCUAAACACUCUUAUAUUUCUUUACAGAGGGAGUACUAAGUACUAACUGUUAUCCCUUUGUAAUAGAAGAGCAUAAUUUCCACUCCCUAGUUGUUGAUCAUAUUUCUCUGUGCCACAUUCUAGUUCCAAAAAUGCAUGUUGAUGGUCCACCUUGUUGAUUGCCUGCUGAUAUUGUGAGAUAUUUGAUUAUGCUUGAUAAGAUUAGUAGCGAAGAGUGCCUCAUUAAAAAUCUUAGUUGAAGAGUGAAAUUUGCGUUAGUAGUAUGUACUGAAUUUUACGGCAGUCAUAAGAUGAAUUUGUUCCUGUGAAACUGAGGACUGAAAGAGCUGAUUCUGGUGCUCAACAGUAUGAUAUUUUAGCCCCUGCAUAAAUUGUGGGAAAUCCCACGUGCAUGGAAAAUGAAGGACUCAAAGGUUAACAUAAUCCAUUUUAUAAAUCAUCAAACAUGCAUCUUCAUUAUGUAUGAGAUUAUUCUGGGAUACCGCCUCCAUUAAUUAAUUAUGUAUUAGAGACGGAAUUUAUCUCUUGCGAUAAACUGAGGAGGGGAGCAGUUAUGUUUGUCCUUGCAAUUGUGACAUGUGUAUUUCUACAUCUGACAUACAGCAUAACUAUUUCAGGGCUUGACAGACCAGUUUUUAUCCGGAAGAAAGGCCUUUAGUGUGCGUUUGGAUCUGAAGAAACAAAGCAAGAUAUGGUUGUCAUUCCUCCUAACUUGGCUAGUUACUAGUAUCUCCUUGAUCCUUUGAUAAGGUAGUCUUGGCGAGUGUUUGGGCAAUAGAGAACAUAACUUGGCAAUUUUUGUACAUGUUUCAGGAUUAGAAGCUUAAAUUCUGAAUUUUAUAGUUCAGGAGUAGCUACCUCCUGAUGUACCGGUGUAAUUUAAUAGUUUCAUCGAAUGUGAAUCAGAAGUAUAUGUUGUUAACAUAGUUGGGUAUACAUAUCAUGUCAUCUUUCUUUUCUAAGGUGUUUGAUGAGUUCAAUGCAAUGGAACCGAUGAGCUGAACAUAUUCAAGGUUUCUAGCGGGAAUCACUUCUUCAUGGCCAUUCUGGUGAUAAUGGUUGUACUCCAG
rnacentral:lncRNA from 1 species